rnacentral:rRNA from 1 species
GAUGAACGCUGGCGGCGUGCCUAAUACAUGCAAGUCGAGCGAACGGACGAGAAGCUUGCUUCUCUGAUGUUAGCGGCGGACGGGUGAGUAACACGUGGAUAACCUACCUAUAAGACUGGGAUAACUUCGGGAAACCGGAGCUAAUACCGGAUAAUAUUUUGAACCGCAUGGUUCAAAAGUGAAAGACGGUCUUGCUGUCACUUAUAGAUGGAUCCGCGCUGCAUUAGCUAGUUGGUAAGGUAACGGCUCACCAAGGCAACGAUGCAUAGCCGACCUGAGAGGGUGAUCGGCCACACUGGAACUGAGACACGGUCCAGACUCCUACGGGAGGCAGCAGUAGGGAAUCUUCCGCAAUGGGCGAAAGCCUGACGGAGCAACGCCGCGUGAGUGAUGAAGGUCUUCGGAUCGUAAAACUCUGUUAUUAGGGAAGAAUAUAUGUGUAAGUAACUGUGCACAUCUUGACGGUACCUAAUCAGAAAGCCACGGCUAACUACGUG